GACGAACGCUGGCGGCGUGCCUAAUACAUGCAAGUAGAACGCUGAAGGAGGAGCUUGCUUCUCUGGAUGAGUUGCGAACGGGUGAGUAACGCGUAGGUAACCUGCCUGGUAGCGGGGGAUAACUAUUGGAAACGAUAGCUAAUACCGCAUAACAGUAGAUAUCGCAUGAUAUCUACUUGAAAGUUGCAAUUGCAUCACUACCAGAUGGACCUUCGUUGUAUUAGCUAGUUGGUGAGGUAACGGCUCACCAAGGCGACGAUACAUAGCCGACCUGAGAGGGUGGUCGGCCACACUGGGACUGAGACACGGCCCAGACUCCUACGGGAGGCAGCAGUAGGGAAUCUUCGGCAAUGGACGGAAGUCUGACCGAGCAACGCCGCGUGAGUGAAGAAGGUUUUCGGAUCGUAAAGCUCUGUUGUAAGAGAAGAACGAGUGUGAGAGUGGAAAGUUCACACUGUGACGGUAUCUUACCAGAAAGGGACGGCUAACUACGUG
rnacentral:rRNA from 1 species